GUCCGUUUUUCAAAUCUAUGCCCCAUCGUGACGUCAUUGUCUAAUCUAUGUCCGUAAAAAUGAUUCAGCCUCAAAUCUGUGUCCGAUUUUCAAUCGCGACGUCAUUCGCAGAUCUGUGUCCGUUAUAAAAAAGAUAAGGUCUCAAAUCUGUGUUAUGUUUUAAUUUUUUUUCCAAUUUGUUUCGCCAUGCUCAAAUUUAAUUUGAAUUGUAAAUAUUCCACAAUAGUAGGAGUAAAGAUAUCCUGAUAAUUGUCAGAAAACAUUUCAAGAGGAUAAAUCUCUAGUUGACGUUUUUGAAAAUAUUCCAUCAGUCCACUAUUUAUAGAG
rnacentral:lncRNA from 1 species